AUACGGAGGGUGCAAGCGUUACUCGGAAUCACUGGGCGUAAAGCGCGCGCAGGCGGCUUGAUAAGUUGGAUGUGAAAGCCUACGGCUCAACCGUAGAACUGCAUCCAAAACUAUUAGACUAGAGUCUGGGAGGGGAAGAUGGAAUUAGUUGUGUAGGGGUAAAAUCCGUAGAGAUAACUAGGAAUACCAAAAGCGAAGGCGAUCUUCUGGAACAGUACUGACGCUGAGGCGCGAAAGCGUGGGGAGCAAACAGGAUUAGAAACCCCAGUAGUCC
rnacentral:rRNA from 1 species